AUUGAACGCUGGCGGAAUGCUUUACACAUGCAAGUCGAACGGUAGAGGGGGCAACCCCUCGAGAGUGGCGAACGGGUGAGUAAUAUAUCGGAACGUGCCCAGUCGUGGGGGAUAACGUAGCGAAAGUUACGCUAAUACCGCAUACGAUCUAAGGAUGAAAGCGGGGGAUCGCAAGACCUCGCCCGAUUGGAGCGGCCGAUAUCAGAUUAGGUAGUGGGUGGGGUAAAGGCUCACCAAGCCAACGAUGUGUAGCUGGUCUGAGAGGACGACCAGCCACACUGGAACUGAGACACGGUCCAGACUCCUACGGGAGGCAGCAGUGGGGAAUUUUGGACAAUGGACGCAAGUCUGAUCCAGCCAUUCCGCGUGCAGGAUGAAGGCCCUCGGGUUGUAAACUGCUUUUGUACGGAACGAAAAGGUCUCUCUUAAUACGGGGGACUCAUGACGGUACCGUAAGAAUAAGCACCGGCUAACUACGUGCCAGCAGCCGCCGUAA
rnacentral:rRNA from 1 species